UAUUACCUACAAGGUACGAAUUGUGUUAUUUUUAGAACCUACAUGUAUUGAAAGGGAGAAUUACUUUCGGUGUGGCGUGUAUAACUUCUUAUGAUUUUAUCCCAUAAACACUGAGGCUUCGCCCACCUGUUUAAGACAGGCUUCUUAAAAAGCACUAUAAAAACGGCCAUUGUGGGUCUUUU
rnacentral:other from 1 species